UUGAAGAUUUCUCUGGAACGCUUUUUCUGGCACCUCUUGAUCCAAUGCUUGCAUUUAAAAACCUUGUUGAACUGCACUAUCAUAAUUACUAUACUGAUGAUCAAGGAACGUGGAUUGUAAAGCUUCUACAUUGCAUACCUAAUCUAAAGACACUUAAACUUUGUCUGGAAAUUAAUUCGGAAGGUUUCACAUCAUUGCCUACAGCAGUGCCUUUGUGUUUGUUAUUUCACAUCAAAGAGAUUAAAAUCAUAUACUUUGACGGAAAUGAGCAUACAUUUGAAAUGAUUAGUUAUUUCUUGAAACAUGCAUCAGUUCUGGAGAAGCUUGUAUUUACAAUUAUUGAUCCAUGGAAGAAAGAAGAAUCAGAUAUCAUUGAAAAACUAUCGAGUUUACCGAAGAAAUCAAAGAAAUGUGAAAUCGUGACUCCCUAAUAUUUCAUUUUGUCUCUUCUAUUUUGUAUUGUUUUAGAGAAACUUCAUUGUCUCGAUUCGUUUGGUUUCGCAUAACACUUUUUUGUUGCAAGUAGCAAAUGCUGUGAUAUUAUUGACAUUGUUUUACAGUUUCAAUUAUACUUAUCAAAAUGUGAUACAACUUGCACUAGUAAACACUUCUUAUGUUUGCCUGAUAGAAUCUGUUGGUGACUCUGAUAGAAAAAGUAAUUUGCCUGAUCAUUUUCUUUGCCGUAUGUUGUCCUUCCUUUCCAUUAAAGAUACAGUUCUAAUAUCAAUUGUUUCACCCAGGUGGAGGUAUCUUUCUGCUUCAUCUAUUUCUAUCCUUGAUUUUAAUGGUUGCUUAUGUGUAUGUCAAAGCCUAUCGAAAACGAUAACAACUUCCUGAAUUUUGUCGAUAGAUUCUUUUCCAACCCCAAGCAGGUUUGUCAAGAAUUCUUGAGGGUGAAUGAGCAGUGGGUGAGGAAGGAUGGAAUUCAAUAGGCUUGACAGUAAUUGGGAGAGAAUUACGGAGGCAACCCUGAUUCACAGAGGAGGAGAGGCCGUACUAAGUUAGGGGUAAACGAAGAGUAGAAGAGCUAUGCAUUAAAGUGGCAACUAAUUGCGGAGCUGAAGGAUUUUUUGUCAGUAAAACACUAGAAGAAAAGGGGAAGGAAGAAGAAAAAUCGCUGCAGCUUGAAGAAAGGUAUGGUUUUGGAUAACUUAGUGUCUGAUUCUGGAAUUUGAUACAGAGAUAGCGUAAUUAUAGAAUAGUUGAGUUGGAGGAACUGUUGAAAUCAGAUACAUGGGCGAGCAAGUAGAGUCUGUUGGCGACUUCGAUAGAAUAAGUAGUUUGCCCGAUCAUAUUCUGUCAUAUUUUGUCGCUCCUUCCCAUCAAAGAUAUAGUUCGAACUUCAAUUAUUUCACUCAGGCCGUGGAGGUAUCUCUAUGCUUCCUCAGUGUCUAUCAUCGAUUUUAAUGAUUGUUUAUCACGUGUCUCAGCGCCUAGUAAAAAUGAUAACAACUUUCUGAAUUUUGUUGACAGAUUGUUUUCUAACCCCAAGCAGUUAAGUUUUGAAUGCUUGAGGCUGAAUGACAAUUGGGUGAGGAGGGAUGAGGAUUAUUUACGCCUUAAUGGUUGGAUAUGCGAUGCACUGUGGUGUGGUGUUAAGGAAAUUAGCAUUAGAGUUAUGUGAAGGUUCCAUCUAACACUUGUUUGCCAAAUCUGAAGACUGCAUUUUGCAUGUUCCAUAUUUCAAGAAGGUUAUUCAGUGAUUAUGUUAAUUUCCAAUUGCCAUGUCCUGGAAAAUUUGGAAUUUACUUAUUGCGAGUUUGGUAACAUAAGCAAGCUCAAUAUCCAUAACCUUUCCCUUAAGAGGUUGGUUUUAGAUUUCGGUGAGAUGCAUGUUCAUUCUCAAAUUGGUUUCAGUGUCAUCGAGAUUGAUACCCCAAAUCUUGUUUAUUUCAAAUAUGUUGAUGAUACAAUGGUUGAAGGCUAUACGAUAAGUGACAUGAAAUAUCUAGAAAGAGCUGAUAUUGAAAUCACUCUAUUAGAUAGAGUGGAUUAUGAAGGUGCGACAAAUCUUCUCAAGGAAAUAUGCAAUGUACAGUCCCUUUGUUUAGUCAUUGAAGAUUUCUCUAAAACGCUUUUUCCGACACCUUUUGAUCCAGUGCUUGCAUUUCACAAACUCGUUGAACCGGAAUUUCGUAAUCAGUAUAAUGAAGAUUGGCAAGGAACGAGGAUUUGUGGAGUAUCUACAUUGCAUGCCUAAUCUAAAGACACUUAUCCAGGACAUGUCAAGCACGUCUGUAGAAGGGUUCAGGUCAUUGCCUACAACAGUGCCUUUGUGUUUGUUAUUUCAUAUCAAGGAGAUUGAAAUCAAACACUUUGAGGGAGAGGAGCAUAUGUUUGAAAUGAUUAGUUAUUUCUUGAAACAUGCAUCAGUCCUGG